rnacentral:ncRNA from 1 species
UAACCUCUGGCUCUCAUUGUGAAUGUUG